rnacentral:rRNA from 1 species
AGUGAACGCUGGCGGUAGGCCUAACACAUGCAAGUCGAACGGCAGCACAGUAAGAGCUUGCUCUUACGGGUGGCGAGUGGCGGACGGGUGAGGAAUACAUCGGAAUCUACUUUUUCGUGGGGGAUAACGUAGGGAAACUUACGCUAAUACCGCAUACGACCUACGGGUGAAAGCAGGGGAUCUUCGGACCCUGCGCGAUUGAAUGAGCCGAUGUCGGAUUAGCUAGUUGGCGGGGUAAAGGCCCACCAAGGCGACGAUCCGUAGCUGGUCUGAGAGGAUGAUCAGCCACACGGGAACUGAGACACGGUCCAGACUCCUACGGGAGGCAGCAGUGGGGAAUAUUGGACAAUGGGCGCAAGCCUGAUCCAGCCAUACCGCGUGGGUGAAGAAGGCCUUCGGGUUGUAAAGCCCUUUUGUUGGGAAAGAAAAGCAGCAGGUUAAUACCCCGCUGUUCUGACGGUACCCAAAGAAUAAGCACCGGCUAACUUCGUG